rnacentral:rRNA from 1 species
AACGAACGCUGGCGGCAUGCCUAACACAUGCAAGUCGAACGAGACCUUCGGGUCUAGUGGCGCACGGGUGCGUAACGCGUGGGAACCUGCCCUUAGGUUCGGAAUAACUCCCCGAAAGGGGUGCUAAUACCGGAUAAUGUCUUCGGACCAAAGAUUUAUCGCCUUUGGAUGGGCCCGCGUUGGAUUAGCUAGUUGGUAGGGUAAAAGCCUACCAAGGCGACGAUCCAUAGCUGGUCUGAGAGGAUGAUCAGCCACACGGGGACUGAGACACGGCCCAGACUCCUACGGGAGGCAGCAGUGGGGAAUAUUGGACAAUGGGCGAAAGCCUGAUCCAGCAAUGCCGCGUGAGUGAUGAAGGCCUUAGGGUUGUAAAGCUCUUUUACCCGGGAUGAUAAUGACAGUACCGGGAGAAUAAGCUCCGGCUAACUCCGUG